CCAAAUACCGACCGUCUCUAAAGCAAGUGGCAAAGAACUUGGUCGUUGGUACCCGAGACCUAAGUUCGAAUUCUAAUUGAUUCAUAUUUCUAGCUAAGUUUAUUUCUAAAUGAAAUAAACAAAGUGGGUAGCAUGCUACCUAUCUAUCGAAAAAAAAAGAAGCCCAAAUUUUGGGUAAACAUGGUUUUCUCGGUCUUCUAGUUGAUUU
rnacentral:lncRNA from 1 species